CUCAAAUCUGCAUUUCGUACUAAAAAUUAUAGCUGGAACCGUAUAUAGGGGUCAGUUUACCGAAAAAAUUUCAGAAUCCAUGGUUCUAUGUCCAAGGAGAGACAUAUCAGUUUCUAAAUAGAAAUCCUUCAGUUUAUUUUGAAUCAACAUAAAAACAGAGACUAAUUUUCUGUAGGAUGGGGUUAGAACACUUGCCUUUGAGAAUUUUGACCCCCAAUUGAGAAGAUUGAGUAAGAAACCUCAAAGCCCCAAUUUUUCUUCUUCUUCUUCCCC
rnacentral:lncRNA from 1 species